UACAGAGGUCUCAAGCGUUGUUCGGAUUCAUUGGGCGUAAAGGGUGCGUAGGCGGCGCGGUAAGUCGGGUGUGAAAUCUUGGAGCUUAACUCCGAAACUGCAUUCGAUACUGCCGUGCUUGAGGACUGGAGAGGAGACUGGAAUUUACGGUGUAGCGGUGAAAUGCGUAGAUAUCGUAAGGAAGACCAGUGGCGAAGGCGGGUCUCUGGACAGUUCCUGACGCUGGGGCACGAAGGUCAGGGGAGCAAACGGG
rnacentral:rRNA from 1 species